CAAUAGCGUAUAUUUAAGUUGUUGCAGUUAAAAAGCUCGUAGUUGGAUUUCGGUUAAGAGCGACCGGUCCGCCGUUUGGUGUGCACUGGUUGGUUUUAACUUCCCGUAGAGGACGUGCUCUGGGUUUAACGACCUGGACUCGGAGUCUACGUGGUUACUUUGAAAAAAUUAGAGUGUUCAAAGCGGGCUUACGCUUGAAUAUUUCAGCAUGGAAUAACACUAUAGGACUCCUGUCCUAUUUCGUUGGUCUCGGGACGGGAGUAAUGAUUAAGAGGAACAGUUGGGGGCAUUCGUAUUUCAUUGUCAGAGGUGAAAUUCUUGGAUUUAUGAAAGACGAACUUCUGCGAAAGCAUUUGCCAAGGAUGUUUUCAUUAA
rnacentral:rRNA from 1 species